rnacentral:rRNA from 1 species
GACGAACGCUGGCGGCGUGCUUAACACAUGCAAGUCGAACGGAAAGGCCCUGCCUUUGUGGGGUGCUCGAGUGGCGAACGGGUGAGUAACACGUGAGUAACCUGCCCUUGACUUUGGGAUAACUUCAGGAAACUGGGGCUAAUACCGGAUAGGAGCUCCUGCCGCAUGGUGGGGGUUGGAAAGUUUCGGCGGUUGGGGAUGGACUCGCGGCGUAUCAGCUUGUUGCUGGGGUAGUGGCUUACCAAGGCUUUGACGGGUAGCCGGCCUGAGAGGGUGACCGGCCACAUUGGGACGGAGAUACGGCCCAGACUCCUACGGGAGGCAGCGGUGGGGAAUAUUGCACAAUGGGCGGAAGCCUGAUGCAGCAACGCCGCGUGCGGGAUGACGGCCUUCGGGUUGUAAACCACUUUCGCCUGUGACGAAGCGUGAGUGACGGUAAUGGGUAAAGAAGCACCGGCUAACUACGUG